CGGCAGGAAGGAUGUGAUCAGGGACAAGGCCAGAGCCAUCACCUCUCUUUCAGCCCCUAUCCCAGGGGACACUGUCCUGGAAGACUUGGUGGCUCCAGCUAGGUCCUCCAUGGGGGUGGAGUUACUGAGGAAGAUGGGCUGGAAGGACGGCCAGGGGGUUGGGCCCAGGGUGAAGAGGAGGCUGUGUAAGCAGAGAGCAGAUUCUGCAACAAGGGCGUUCGGCUCGGCCUCGCCUCCCAACGGUUCAUCGGGAUCACAGGAUGAGGAGGACGGAGAGUUCGUCCCUGAGAAC